rnacentral:rRNA from 1 species
GACGAACGCUGGCGGCGUGCUUAACACAUGCAAGUCGAGCGGCAAGGCCCACUUGUGGGUACUCGAGCGGCGAACGGGUGAGUAACACGUGAGUAAUCUGCCCUUCACUCCGGGAUAACGUUCAGAAAUGGGCGCUAAUACCGUAUGUGCACCUGCUCUCGCAUGGGGUUGGGUGGAAAGAUUUUUUGGUGGGGGAUGUGCUCGCGGCCUAUCAGCUUGACGGCGGGGUAAUGGCCUACCGUGGCUUUGACGGGUAGCCGGCCUGAGAGGGUGACCGGCCACACUGGGACUGAGACACGGCCCAGACUCCUACGGGAGGCAGCAGUGGGGAAUAUUGGACAAUGGGCGGAAGCCUGAUCCAGCAACGCCGCGUGAGGGAUGACGGCCUUCGGGUUGUAAACCUCUUUCACCAUUGACGAAGCUGCAUCUUUUUGGGUGUGGUGACGGUAGGUGGGGAAGAAGCACCGGCCAACUACGUGCCAGCAGCCGCAGUAACAC